rnacentral:rRNA from 1 species
CCUACGGGUGGCAGCAGUGAGGAAUAUUGCGCAAUGGGCGAAAGCCUGACGCAGCGACGCCGCGUGAGGGAUGAAGGUCUUCGGAUCGUAAACCUCUGUCAGCAGGGAAGAACGGUCACUGUGCUAAUCAGCAGUGAAUUGACGGUACCUGCAAAGGAAGCACCGGCUAACUCCGUGCCAGCAGCCGCGGUAAUACGGAGGGUGCGAGCGUUAAUCGGAAUUACUGGGCGUAAAGCGCUCGUAGGCGGUAUGUCAAGUCAAGGGUGAAAUCCCCGCGCUCAACGUGGGAACUGCCUUUGAAACUGGCAGACUGGAGUAUGUGAGAGGAUAGUGGAAGUCCAGGUGUAGGAGUGAAAUCCGUAGAUAUCUGGAGGAACAUCAGUGGCGAAGGCGACUAUCUGGCACAUAACUGACGCUGAGGAGCGAAAGCGUGGGUAGCAAACAGGAUUAGAUACCCCGGUAGUC